UACAGAGGGUGCGAGCGUUAAUCGGAAUUACUGGGCGUAAAGCGCGCGUAGGCGGCUUUGCAAGUCGGGUGUGAAAUCCCCAGGCUUAACCUGGGAACUGCAUUCGAGACUGCAUUGCUAGAGUAUGGGAGAGGGAAGUGGAAUUCUCGGUGUAGCAGUGAAAUGCGUAGAUAUCGAGAGGAACACCAGUGGCGAAGGCGAGUCCCUGGACAACUUCUGACGCUGAGGCACGAAAGCUAGGGGAGCAAACAGG
rnacentral:rRNA from 1 species